rnacentral:lncRNA from 1 species
GCCACUGGGUUACCGGAAGGCAGACCGACCCUGUUCUUGGCUUUGUUAGCUGGGGCUCUAACCCCCAAUAAACAAGAAAACGAAGGGUCCCAAGUCCUGCCCUCGGCCGGGCCUGAAAGACCAAACCGUCCAGCCCAAGAUCAAAGGAGAAAACACGGGGGAAUGCGGGGAGACAGGGAGGGAAGCCAUCAACCAAGGACCCCGACCGCAUCCCACUAUUUUCGGCCUGAGACAAAUGACAGAAAGCAAACCGCCGCCAACUCAGCCCCUUCAAGCCCCAACCCAGCGAGCCAGCCUUUUGGGUCAGGGGUCGUGGUGGUCGCACGGGUCUCCGCGGCCUCGGCUCCAUCCUCCGGACCCGGCGGUCCGCUCCUGGCUCCGGGGCUCCCCGGCUCCGCGGCUCCUGGCAUAGGCCGAGCUUCCACACCGGGCGCCGCCCGCGCCACGAGGGAAGAUGGCGGCCGCCGAGGAACUGCGCCACCAGCCCUGGCCACAGGCCAGGCCCAGCGCCAUCUUAGCGUCCUCCAGUCCGCCGUCCCCACCCCGAGAAGCCGCUUUCGGGGCGACUCGGGAAGGGGGACCCUGAGAAGCCCUCUGGGUCGAAAAAAAAAAAAAAAAGCAAAAAGAAAACCAAAACAAACAAAAAAAUCACCAAAACACAAAAAGCGCUCCCCGCCACAGUCCUCGGUCUCCCGGCCCGCCGGCUGACACGGGCCUCGCAGGCGGCCUCCCCACGGCCGAGCGGAGCGUGCAGCGGCCUGGGCCGCGUCCUCCGCAG